GAUGAACGCUGACGGCGUGCCUAAUACAUGCAAGUCGAGCGAACGGACGAGAAGCUUGCUUCUCUGAUGUUAGCGGCGGACGGGUGAGUAACACGUGGAUAACCUACCUAUAAGACUGGGAUAACUUCGGGAAACCGGAGCUAAUACCGGAUAAUAUUUUGAACCGCAUGGUUCAAAAGUGAAAGACGGUCUUGCUGUCACUUAUAGAUGGAUCCGCGCUGCAUUAGCUAGUUGGUAAGGUAACGGCUUACCAAGGCAACGAUGCAUAGCCGACCUGAGAGGGUGAUCGGCCACACUGGGACUGAGACACGGUCCAGACUCCUACGGGAGGCAGCAGUAGGGAAUCUUCCGCAAUGGGCGAAAGCCUGACGGAGCAACGCCGCGUGAGUGAUGAAGGUCUUCGGAUCGUAAAACUCUGUUAUUAGGGAAGAACAUAUGUGUAAGUAACUGUGCACAUCUUGACGGUACCUAAUCAGAAAGCCACGGCUAACUACGUG
rnacentral:rRNA from 1 species